GAGUUUGAUCCUGGCUCAGGAUGAACGCUAGCGGCAGGCUUAACACAUGCAAGUCGAGGGGUAACAUAGAAAAGCUUGCUUUUCUGAUGACGACCGGCGCACGGGUGCGUAACGCGUAUACAAUCUGCCUUAUACUGGGGUAUAGCCUUUAGAAAUGAAGAUUAAUCCCCCAUAGCCUCUUUAAAUGGCAUCAUUUUUAGAGUAAAGGUUACGGUAUAAGAUGAGUAUGCGUUCUAUUAGUUUGUUGGUGAGGUAACGGCUCACCAAGACUGCGAUAGAUAGGGGCCCUGAGAGGGGGAUCCCCCACACUGGUACUGAGACACGGACCAGACUCCUACGGGAGGCAGCAGUGAGGAAUAUUGGACAAUGGAGGCAACUCUGAUCCAGCCAUGCCGCGUGCAGGAAGACUGCCCUAUGGGUUGUAAACUGCUUUUAUACAGGAAGAAACCUUGGUACGUGUACCAAGCUGACGGUACUGUAAGAAUAAGGAUCGGCUAACUCCGUGCCAGCAGCCGCGGUAAUACGGAGGAUCCAAGCGUUAUCCGGAAUCAUUGGGUUUAAAGGGUCCGUAGGUGGAUAAUUAAGUCAGGGGUGAAAUCUUGCAGCUCAACUGUAAAAUUGCCUUUGAUACUGGUUAUCUUGAGUCAUUAUGAAGUAGUUAGAAUAUGUAGUGUAGCGGUGAAAUGCAUAGAUAUUACAUAGAAUACCAAUUGCGAAGGCAGAUUACUAAUAAUGUACUGACACUGAUGGACGAAAGCGUGGGUAGCGAACAGGAUUAGAUACCCUGGUAGUCCACGCCGUAAACGAUGGUUACUAGCUGUGUGGACUUCGGUCUGCGUGGCUAAGCGAAAGUGAUAAGUAACCCACCUGGGGAGUACGUUCGCAAGAAUGAAACUCAAAGGAAUUGACGGGGGCCCGCACAAGCGGUGGAGCAUGUGGUUUAACUCGAUGAUACGCGGGGAACCUUACCAGGGCUUAAAUGUAAGUUGCAUUAGCUAGAGAUAGCUAUUUCUUCGGACCACUUACAAGGUGCUGCAUGGUUGUCGUCAGCUCGUGCCGUGAGGUGUCAGGUUAAGUCCUAUAACGAGCGCAACCCCUGUUGUUAGUUGCCAGCGAGUCAUGUCGGGAACUCUAACAAGACUGCCGGUGCAAACCGUGAGGAAGGUGGGGAUGACGUCAAAUCAUCACGGCCCUUACGUCCUGGGCUACACACGUGCUACAAUGGUCGGUACAGAGAGCAGCCACUGCGCGAGCAGGAGCGAAUCUAUAAAACCGAUCACAGUUCGGAUCGGAGUCUGCAACUCGACUCCGUGAAGCUGGAAUCGCUAGUAAUCGGAUAUCAGCCAUGAUCCGGUGAAUACGUUCCCGGGCCUUGUACACACCGCCCGUC
rnacentral:rRNA from 1 species